AUUGAACGCUGGCGGCAGGCCUAACACAUGCAAGUCGAGCGAGCGGCGGACGGGUGAGUAAUGUAUGGGGACUGCCCGAUAGAGGGGGAUAACUACUGGAAACGGUAGCUCAUACCGCAUACUAUCGGAUAACCCAUAUGGGAUUAGCUAGUAGGUGAGGGAAUGGCUCACCUAGGCGAAGAUCCCGAGCUGGUCUGGGAGGAUGACCAGCCACACUGGGACUGAGACACGGCCCAGACUCCUACGGAGGCAGCAGUGGGGAAUAUUGCACAAGGGGUGCAAGCCUGAUGCAGCCAUGCCGCGUGUAUGAAGAAGGCCCUAGGGUUGUAAAGUACUUUCAGUCGGGAGGCGUUACCGACAGAAGAAGCACCGGCUAACUCCGUGCCAGCAGCCGCGGUAAUUC
rnacentral:rRNA from 1 species